AGUAUCAUGAAUUAGAAACCUACUUAUUACAUAGUUUACAUAAGAAGCGUGAUGAUGCUGCUGAUGCUGUA
ensembl:miRNA MIR1322 microRNA 1322